rnacentral:rRNA from 1 species
UACGUAGGGGGCAAGCGUUGUCCGGAAUUAUUGGGCGUAAAGAGCGUGUAGGCGGUCCGAUCAGUUUGCUGUAAAAGUCGGGGGCUCAACCCCCGAAAGCCGGUGAAUACUGUCGGACUAGAGUACGGAAGAGGCGAGUGGAAUUCCUGGUGUAGCGGUGAAAUGCGCAGAUAUCAGGAGGAACACCAAUUGCGAAGGCAGCUCGCUGGGACGUCACUGACGCUGAGACGCGAAAGCGUGGGGAGCAAACAGG